UUUUAAUCCGAUCGUCGAAGCGGCUAGCUGCCAUUGUCGAUUUCAGUGAAUGGGAAGAUAAUAACACCAGGUAGCGAGUCCAGUAUACAUAUUAAUGAUUUUUGUGCAUCGAGACAAAAUUAUAUUUGGCAGACCACACCCGCCGGUCCGGUAUCGAAUAUUAUGCAUUUAGUUUGUAACACGUCGAAACAGGGAUCUUUGGCUCAGUUAAGUGCUGAAGGUAAGCCGACAUUGUCAUGUCCGCCUAGCAGUCGAAGGUAUGACAGUUUUUGACCGAUUAU